GCAUAUCAAUAAGCGGAGGAAAAGAAACCAACAGGGAUUGCCCUAGUAACGGCGAGUGAAGCGGCAACAGCUCAAAUUUGAAAGCUGGCUCUCGGGCCCGCAUUGUAAUUUGCAGAGGAUGCUUCUGGCGACGCGCCUUCCGAGUUCCCUGGAACGGGACGCCAUAGAGGGUGAGAGCCCCGUCCGGUCGUGCGCCUAGCCUCUGUGAAGCUCCUUCGACGAGUCGAGUAGUUUGGGAAUGCUGCUCAAAAUGGGAGGUAUACGUCUUCUAAAGCUAAAUAUUGGCCAGAGACCGAUAGCGCACAAGUAGAGUGAUCGAAAGAUGAAAAGCACUUUGAAAAGAGAGUUAAAAAGUACGUGAAAUUGUUGAAAGGGAAGCGCUCAUGACCAGACUUGGGCUGGCUCGAUCAUCCGUCGUUCUCGACGGUGCACUCGGGCCGCUCAGGCCAGCAUCAGCUUCCGCCGGGGGAUAAAGGCAGUGGGAAUGUGGCUCCCUCGGGAGUGUUAUAGCCCGCCGUGCAAUACCCUGGUGGGGGCUGAGGUUCGCGCGUAUGCACGGAUGCUGGCGUAAUGGUCAUCAGCGACCCGUCUUGAAACACGGACCAAGGAGUCGUCUUCGUAUGCGAGUGUUCGGGUGUCAAACCCCUACGCGGAAUGAAAGUGAACGCUGGUGAGAGCUUCGGCGCAUCACCGACCGAUCCUGAUGUUCUCGGAUGGAUUUGAGUAAGAGCAUACGGGGCCGGACCCGAAAGAAGGUGAACUAUGCCUGUAUAGGGUGAAGCCAGAGGAAACUCUGGUGGAGGCUCGCAGCGGUUCUGACGUGCAAAUCGAUCGUCAAAUAUGGGCAUGGGGGCGAAAGACUAAUCGAACCUUCUAGUAGCUGGUUUCCGCCGA
rnacentral:rRNA from 1 species